rnacentral:rRNA from 1 species
UACAGAGGUGGCAAGCGUUGUUCGGAAUUACUGGGCGUAAAGGGCGCGUAGGCGGUCUUUUAAGUCUUGUGUGAAAUCCCUCGGCUCAACUGAGGAACUGCACGGGAUACUGGAAGACUUGAGUUCGGGAGAGGGAAGCGGAAUUCCGGGUGUAGCGGUGAAAUGCGUAGAUAUCCGGAGGAACACCGGUGGCGAAGGCGGCUUCCUGGACCGAUACUGACGCUGAGGAGCGAAAGCGUGGGGAGCGAACAGG